rnacentral:snRNA from 1 species
AUGCUUGCUUCAGCAGCACAUUACUAAAAGAUUAGCAUGGCCCCUGUGCAAGAAUGACAUGUAAAUUUGUGAAGUGUUCCAUAUUUUU